rnacentral:sRNA from 1 species
AAUAAAUUAAAACCGUAAAUUGCGCUGUAAAUAUUUAUUUUUGGAAUUUUGGUUUAAUUGCCCUUUUCCGGUCGUUUAAACGGUUAUAAAGCGACACGGAUAUUUCCAAUUUAUUUUUUUAUUACCCGGUAUUGGCGGCGAAAAACGGUUUUUAAACGGUUUCGUAUUUUAAAAUUAACGGGAAAAAGGUAUAACCAAUGUUAUAUACCGUGGAAACGGUUUGGAAAACCUGUUUGGGGCGGAAAAUAAAAUUAAUUGCGAAAAUUGUAAUAUAUAUAUAUUAAUAAAAUAAACAAAAUCGGUAUUUACGGUAAUAUUAAUUUGGAAAUUUGUAUUACCAGUUAAAAUUGGUUUUUUAUCGACGAAUUAUAAUUGUAAAAAUUGUAAAUCGGUUUUUUUCCUUUUUCCAGGGCGUUUUUUAACCGCCGGAACGUUUUCCGGCGUAAAACCGAAACCCUCCAAAUAUUUUUUUUAUUAUAUUUUAAUCCCGUUAUAUAUAUUUUUUAUUUUUCACGAACGUUAAAUAAUUUGAUUUUUAUCCCUAUACCACGUAUUUUUAACGAAUUUUAUUUAUUAAUAUAAAGUUAUUUUUUCGAUUAACGUUUAUUUGGUUUCGUAAACGACCCGCAUAUUUUUUAACGUAUUAGCGGUUUGGAAUUAUUUAUUUUUUAAUUUUAACAUUAUUUUAAUUUUAUAAUUUAAAACGCGCUAAAAACGUUUCUGGUUAUUUAUUUGUUUUUGGGCAACGCGUUACCGUAAAAUAAUCGUUUCGUUAAUAACGGUUUAUAAAUCCGAAAUAAUAUUAACGGUAUUUAAAUUAAAAUAAUACGUUUUGGCCGCCAUACGGUUUGCCGUAUAUUUGGCCCGUAAAAAUCGGUUAACGGUGGGAAAGAAAUCCGGAUAUCGCGGUAUAUUUGUUAUUAUAGCGUGGCCACGCAAUUUGGCAAAUAUUUUGGUACCGUCGACAAAAAAUAAAUUUAUAUUUUGGAGACCGUUUAUUACGUAACCAAUUGUAAAAAGAUUUUACCAGCAGCGUUAAAUUAAAAAAAAUAUAUUAAUUUACCGUUAAAUUAAUUUGUAAAUCGAAAACGAUUUAUUCGAAUUGUAAUAACGAAAUUUAAACGGGUAAAUACCGGAAUAUUGGUAUUUAUAUAUUUAUAUAGGACCGUUUGCAAUUCGUUUUUUAGGUAAAUAAAUACGGAUAUAUUUAUAAAUUAUAUAUAGUACGUUAAGUAAAACGGUAAAAUAACGAUUUCGAUAUUAAAUUUAAAAUAAUAAUUAAAUAUUUUUAUGCCAAAAUGGCCGGUAAAACCGUCAAAAAAAAACCACCUCCAAAUAUAUAUUUUGGCCCGUUAUAAAUUUGGAUCGAUUUUGGCCGUAAUGCGGUUUACAAAAUCGAAUUUAACGUUAAAAUUAUAACCAAACCAUUUUUUUAACGUGGGAAAUCCGAUCGAUUGCACGGUAAUAAUUUUUGGUUACAAAUAUUGGUUAAAAAAUUAUAUUUAAAUAAAUUGGAUAUUUCCGUUGGAAAACCCCGUUUUUUAACCGCGUAAAAAUAAUAUUUUUAAACAAAUCCAAAUUAAACCAAUCGUUUGUUGGCUAUAUUGUAAAAAUAUAAAAGGGCGGUAACGAUUGCCCAAUAACGUUACCACCGUUUAUUAACGUAUAAUUUUUACGGUUAAUUAGAUCCGCGGUGCGUGGUUUUUUAUAUUUUUUUUCGUUACAAUUAAUACCGGUAUCCGGCCAUUUUUUAUACCGAUUUUAAUACCGUAUUUAUUAACGUUCCAAACCGUUAAAAUUGUAAUCCCAAAUUUUACCGCACGAACCGCCGUGCGGCAAUACCAAUUUUCCAUAAAAUCGAUUUAUUAUUUCCAAUUAAAACAAAUAAUUUCGACGGAUUAUUAUUUGGUAAAUUGCAUUUCCGGGUAUUUUUUAUACCAACGGCCGUACUAAUUUAUUUUAAUUGGACUACAGGGCGGUAUACGUAAUUAACGUAUUAAAUUGGCCGCAAAUAUUACAUAUUAUACAUCGGAAUAUAUACCAAAUUCAUUAAAUUGCAUAAUAUAUGUAACGAAAAUUUAAUUUUUAAUAUUAUUUAAUAUUAAAGGCCGCCCGCUGCGUUAUAUUAAUAAUUUAGGUGCGCCAUUAAUUAAAAAAUUACGCGCAUACCGUUAAAUAUUUAAAUACGGGUAACCGUAUUUUUUACAAAACGCCCGUAGCAAUUUUGGUUUGGAUUUGCCUUCCCGCGCGGUAUUUGCCCUAUUGCGGUAAAUUUCGAAAUAUCGGGCGUAUAUGCGGGCGUUUAAAAUAGCGGGAAAUUUUGGGGACGUUAUAAUAUAAAUAUAUUUGCGGUAAAUGCAAUUGUGUUAUUAUGGAACGGGUUUAUAUUCGGUAUAAGUUAAACUGUUAACGAUUUCCUAGGUAAAAAACUAAUGCGGGGUGGCCCACGGUUUUGUUAAAAAUCAAGGUUUUGUAACCCCCUUUUUGGGGGGGCCCACAACGGACAGCCUCCAAGUAAGCCAAAUUUUAAAUAUAGCUCCGAAUUUUUUUUAAAAAUUACCGCCGCGCCUGCAAAAUUCUAUUAGGUUUGAAAAGUUUUUUGGCAAAUUUUUAAACAUUUUCCGAAAUAUUAAUAAUUUAUCCUAUAUUAUUUUAUAUAAUAAUUUAUAUAAAAAUCGUUUUUUUACCAGUUAGGUUUUUCUUUUAAGUUUAAUUUCAGAUUAAUAUUGGGCUUUGAACAUUUAAUCUUUCGGUUUUUUUUUCUAAAAAAACUUUA